rnacentral:rRNA from 1 species
UACGUAGGUGGCAAGCGUUGUCCGGAUUUACUGGGCGUAAAGAGCGCGCAGGCGGUCGUUCAAGUCGCGUGUGAAAGCCCCCGGCUCAACUGGGGAGGGUCAUUCGAUACUGAUCGACUCGAAGGCAGGAGAGGGAAGUGGAAUUCCCGGUGUAGUGGUGAAAUGCGUAGAUAUCGGGAGGAACACCAGUGGCGAAGGCGACUUCCUGCCUGUUCUUGACGCUGAGGCGCGAAAGCUAGGGGAGCAAACGGGG